UUCAACAAACUCAACAAUUUUUAAACGUUGAACCACUAAACAUCUAAAUACAAGAGAAUGAAAACUCCUACCUAGAUAUCAACAUCGUAUUACGCACGCGUAACGUAGCCGCGCGUGUGUGGCGCGUUGUUCGACUUACAUUGCGGCACAGUAAAAAUUGAAAAUCUUAAUUAGACAUUUGCGACAAGAAAAACACCCACCAUCGUUUUUAGUACAAUCAAAUAGGCGUUCCAUUUUUUUUUUCGUUACGAUGUCACUAACACCCUGUAUACUUAAUAACAAUACAAAUAGGUUAUAAUUAUGUCGCUAUGGUAUAUGAGAAAGUCAAGUAAAUAUCUAAGUAAUAGGGCAAUGGGAUGUGAGAUAUUAUAAGUAUUUAUAGUUUAAAAACAGUCAAAUCAACGCCAAGCAAACCUAAACUUAAUGACACUGAUUAAAGCUUAUAAUUAAACAAGAGAGACUUACAAGAAGAUUGUGUUUAAUAUGACUACAGAAUAGUGGGAAUCAUAAUGGAAGGAAGACAAAAUAAGAUGCAACGUACGGGUUUUAGCUACAAUAAUUAGUAAGAUUGAAGACUUCUUGACGAUGUUUAUAAUGUAUCCUAUAAAAUAUUCACUCACCAGAAUCGUCCAAAGAUUCAGGAGGGACAGAUAUCUACUCCAAACCUGGUAUCUGUUGCAGAUAUUCAAGAAAAUUAUAGGAAAACAAAUGUGAAUGACGGACAGAUUUAGCAAGAUGAAAGAUUUAAGCCUACAAGCACGCUACUGUUUCUCACAUCAAAGGUACAUUGUUAAUUAUGAACAUCAAUA